UACGAAUGUUUGGACCUUGGCAGACAUGGUUUAACUCAAUAUUAAAAAUAACUGUUUUAUGUUACUGCUGGUACUGUGGAAAGACUGGACAUGGUGGAAGAAAAGAAAAUCUUUCUGCUAGAGGACAUGCCAAUAGAAUUGUCAAAAAACAAAAGAGCUCAAAGACCAAAACAAAACAAAACAAAACAGAACAAGCACACACACACAAAAACAACAAAAAACCAGAAUAUCCAAGCACUGUGGAACAAGUACGAAAAGUGUAGUCCCAUAUGCCUAUGAUAAUGCCAGAAGGAGAACAAAGAAAGGAACAGAAGAAAUCUUUAAAUCAAUGUCUGGGAAUUUCCCCACAUUAACAUCAGAUACCAAACCACAGAUGCGGAAAGCUCAGGGAACACUAAAACUCACCGACACCAAACCUGGUGAGGUGUUGGAGUAACAGUAGCUCUCAUUGAUGGUGGAAAUGCAGUCUAGUUCAGCCACUUGAGAAGAUAUUCUGGGAGUUUCUUACAAAACUCAACACACUCUUAACAUGAGAUUUAGCAUUUAACUUCCUUGGUAUUUACCAAAAAGAACUGAUAAUAUACAUUCACACAAAAACCUG